rnacentral:rRNA from 1 species
UGAAUGGCAUAACGAGGGCUUAGCUGUCUCCUAUUUCCAGUCAAUGAAAUUGAUCUCCCCGUGCAGAAGCGGGGAUACGCACAUAAGACGAGAAGACCCUAUGGAGCUUUAGACACCAAAGCAGACCAUGUUAAGCAUCCCAAAACAAAGAACCAAACCAAAUGAUCCCUGCUCUAAUGUCUUUGGUUGGGGCGACCGCGGGGAAAUACAAAACCCCCACGUGGAACGAGAACACCUCCUCUCACAACCAAGAGCUCCCGCUCUAGUAAACAGAAAUUCUGACCAAUCAGAUCCGGCACAAGCCGAUCAACGGACCGAGUUACCCUAGGGAUAACAGCGCAAUCCCCUUUUAGAGGCCAUAUCGACAAGGGGGUUUACGACCUCGAUGUUGGAUCAGGACAUCCUAAUGGUCCAGCCGCUAA